rnacentral:tRNA from 1 species
GGGCUUGUAAUCUAGUCUGGAUAGGGUGCCCGGCUUCGGACUGGGAUUUUUUGUAGAUUUCUUCUACUAAACCCGAUGUCGCAGGUUCGAAUCCUGCCUAGCCCA